GCUUCAUAUAUAAAGAUUUUAUCUUUUGUUAGAAUUUAA
rnacentral:tRNA from 3 species